GACAGAGGGUGCAAACGUUGUUCGGAAUUACUGGGCGUAAAGGGCGCGUAGGCGGUUUGAUGGGUGUGAUGUGAAAGCCCUGGGCUUAACCUAGGAAGCGCAUCGCAAACUAUGGAACUGGAGUAGAUGAGAGGGUGGCGGAAUUCCGGGUGUAGCGGUGGAAUGCGUAGAGAUCCGGAGGAAGACCGGUGGCGAAGGCGGCCUGCUGGGCAGUUACUGACACUGAGGCGCGACAGCGUGGGGAGCAAACAGG
rnacentral:rRNA from 1 species